rnacentral:rRNA from 1 species
GAUGAACGCUAGCUACAGGCUUAACACAUGCAAGUCGAGGGGAAACGACAUUGAAGCUUGCUUCGAUGGUCGUCGACCGGCGCACGGGUGAGUAACGCGUAUCCAACCUGCCUCUGACCAAGGGAUAACCCGUCGAAAGUCGGCCUAAUACCUUAUGCAGUCGUCGGAAGUCAUCUGAUGACGACGAAAGAUUUCAUCGGUGAGAGAUGGGGAUGCGUCUGAUUAGCUUGUUGGCGGGGUAACGGCCCACCAAGGCAACGAUCAGUAGGGGUUCUGAGAGGAAGGUCCCCCACAUUGGAACUGAGACACGGUCCAAACUCCUACGGGAGGCAGCAGUGAGGAAUAUUGGUCAAUGGGCGAGAGCCUGAACCAGCCAAGUAGCGUGCAGGAUGACGGCCCUAUGGGUGGUAAACUGCUUUUAGGCGGGGAUGAAGUGAGGGACGUGUCCUUCAUUGCAGGUACCGCAUGAAUAAGGACCGGCUAAUUCCGUG